rnacentral:rRNA from 1 species
AUUGAACGCUGGCGGCAUCCUUUACACAUGCAAGUCGGACGAGUGGCGAACGGGUGAGUAACGCAUCGGAACGUACCGAGUACUGGGGGAUAACUGUCCGAAAGGACAGCUAAUACCGCAUAUUAUUCGAGCGGCCGAUGUCUGAUUAGCUGGUUGGCGGGGUAAAGGCCCACCAAGGCGACGAUCAGUAGCGGGUCUGAGAUGCUGGUCAGCCACCGUGGGACUGAGACACGGCCGAGACUCCUACGGGUGGCAGCAGUGGGGAAUUUUGGACAAUGGGCGCAAGCCUGAUCCAGCCAUGCCGCGUGUCUGAAUAAGGCCUUCGGUUUGUAAAGGACUUUUGUCAGGGAAGCGGUGCCUGAAGAUUGAGCGCCGGCUAACCACGUGCCAGCAGCCGCGGUAAUAC